rnacentral:rRNA from 1 species
GAUGAACGCUGGCGGCGUGCUUAACACAUGCGAGUCGAACGGAAAGGCUCCUGCUUGCAGGGGUACUCGAGUGGCGAACGGGUGAGUAACACGUGGGUGAUCUGCCCUGCACUUCGGGAUAAGCCUGGGAAACUGGGUCUAAUACCGGAUAGGACGAUGGUUUGGAUGCCAUUGUGGAAAGUUUUUCGGUGUGGGAUGAGCUCGCGGCCUAUCAGCUUGUUGGUGGGGUAAUGGCCUACCAAGGCGUCGACGGGUAGCCGGCCUGAGAGGGUGUACGGCCACAUUGGGACUGAGAUACAGCCCAGACUCCUACGGGAGGCAGCAGUGGGGAAUAUUGCACAAUGGGCGCAAGCCUGAUGCAGCGACGCCGCGUGGGGGAUGACGGCCUUCGGGUUGUAAACUCCUUUCGCUAGGAACGAAGCGCAAGUGACGGUACCUGGAGAAGAAGCACCGGCUAACUACGUG